rnacentral:lncRNA from 1 species
ACCAGCCUGUUGAUCAGCCUGUUGACCAGCCUGUUGAUCAGCCUGUUGACCAGCCUGUUGAUCAGCCUGUUGACCAGCCUGUUGAUCAGCCUGUUGAUCAGCCUGUUGAUCAGCCUGUUGACCAGCCUGUUGACCAGCCUGUUGACCAGCCUGUUGACCAGCCUGUUGAUCAGCCUGUAAAACUGUUGGAGAUGUUCAGGUUGAGGUUUUCAGUUCGGACAGCAAUCAAACAUUUGUUGUGUUUUUACUUGUUUAAAAAACAAUGUUCUGUGAAACAUAUGAGACGAUCAGCAAUUGGCAUGUCAAUCAUUCCUCAAUCAACCCCACCCCCAUUACUUACUUACACACACACACACACACACACACACACACACACACACACACACACAAAAAAUACACUUUUAAUCUGUUUAUUAUUGUUAUUACUAGGCUAUUAUUAUGAUUAUUAUAAAUGCAUGAUGAGGUAAUAAUGUAAAUAGUUAAUUCACAAAGACGUCUUUCCACAUUCUGAAGGAACACGUUCGACGUUUGUACGAGGCUAGAAGAAAGUGUUUGAAUUGAGAACACAGCAUGUGUGCUACUUAUUAAUAUUAUGUUGCAACUGUGAAAGAGAGGGAGGCAGAGAGAGAGAGGCAGAGAGAGAGAGGCAGAGAGAGAGGGGAAGAGACAGAGAGAGAGGCAGAGAGAGAGAGAGAGGCAGAGAGAGAGGCAGAGAGAGAGGCAAAGAGAGAGAGAGAGGCAGAGAGAGAGAGAGAGGCAGAGAGAGAGGCAGAGAGAGAGGAAGAGAGAGAGAGGCAGAGAGAGGCAGAGAGAGAGAGGCAGAGAAAGAGGCAGAGAGAGAGGCAGAGAGAGAGGCAGAGAGAGAGGCAGAGAAAGGGGCAGAGAGAAAGGGGCAGAGAGAGGCAGAGAGAGAGAGGCAGAGAGAGAGGCAGAGAAAGAGGCAGAGAGAGAGAGGCAGAGAGAGGCAGAGCGAGAGGCAGAGAGCGAGAGAGAAUAACAUCUAACCUCAACUAACUAGGUUAUAUGUAUUACAGUCAUCAGCACAGCACCUGUAGACCAGACCAGGCCCAUAGCACUUUGUCCUUAAGUAAGCUAUUCUAAAUGGUGGUUACAUUUCUUAGCUCCAACUCACAGUUUCUACUUGAAACAACCACACACCUCAGCUCAUGUCAGUCAGAGUAACACUGAGGAGUAAGAGUGGGUGGGUUUAGUUUGCGUUUAGAGAGUUAUAGUAGUGUCUUCUUAGAUCAGGGCUGCUGAACCCUUUUCAUGGAGAGCUACCCUCCUGUAGGUUGUUGCUCCAACCCUAAGCUAACAUACCGGAUUUAGCAGAGUAAGAUGUUGGUGAGCAGCUAGGGUUGGACAGACCGUGCAGGAGAAGAGCUCCCCGUGAACAUGUUUGGACAGCCUUGUCUUGGAUCAACACCAGGCAAUAGCUGACUUAAAGUGCCUUCAGAAAGUAUUCACACCCCUGGAUUUUUUACACAUUUUAUUGUGUUACAGCCUGAAUGUAAAAUGGAUUAAAUUGAGAUUUUGUGUCAAUUGACCUUAAUGUCAAAAUGGCAUUAUGUUUUUUUUUUUUAAAUGUACAAAUUACUUAAAAAUGAAAAGCUGAAAUAUCUUGGAGCAUAUACUCACCCCACAGUGAUCUGUAAGGUCCUUCAGUCGAGCAGUGAAUUUCAAAUACAGAUUCAACCGCAAAGACCGGGGAGGUUUUCCAAUGGCUCACGAAGAACGUUAUUGGUAGAUGGUUAAACAAAAAAAAAGCAGACAUUUAAUAUCCCUUUGAGCAUGGUGAAGUUAUUAAUUACACUUUGGAUGGUGUAUCAAUAUACCCAGUCACUACAAAGAUACAGGUGUCCUUCCUAACUCAGUUGCCGGAGAUGAAGGAAACCGCUCAGGGAUUUCACCAUGAGGCUAAUUGUGACUUUAAAACAGUUACAGAGUUGAAUGGCUGUGAUAGGAGAAAACUGAGGAUGGAUCAACAACAUUGUAGUUACUCCACAAUACUAACCUAAUUGACAGAGUGAAAAGAAGGAAGCCUGUACUGAAUACAAAUAUUCCAAAAUAUGCAUCCAGUUUUCAAUAAGGCACUGAAGUAAAAUCCAAACAACACAUAACUGAGUACCACUGUUCAUAUUUUCAAGCAUUAUGGUGACUGCAUUAUGUUAUGGGUAUGCUUGUCAUCGGCAAGGACUAGGGAGUUUUUUAGGAUAAAAAUAAAUGAAAUAGAGCUAAAAACAGGUAAAAUCCUAGAGGAAAACCUGGUUCAGUCUGCAGCCAUUUUGCCACAACUUUGGAAGAAUGCUUUGGGUCAUUGUCCAUUUGGAAAAACAAUUUGCCACCAAGCUUUAACUUUCUGACUGAUGUCUUGAGAUGUUGCUUCAAUAUAUCCACAUUAUUUUAAUCCUCAUGAUGCCAUACAUUUUUUUUGAAGUGCACCAGUCCCUCCUGCAGCAAAGCACCCACACAACAUGAUGCUGCAUCCCCGUGCUUCACGGUUGGGAUGGUGUUCUUCGGCUUGCAAGCAUCCCCCUUUUUCC